GACGUAGGGCGCGAGCGUUGUCCGGAUUUAUUGGGCGUAAAGCGCUCGCAGGUGGUCCGUCGCGUCGUGCGUGAAAUACCCCGGCUCAACUGGGGGGGGUCGUGCGAUACGGGCGGACUGGAGGCCAGUAGGGGGAUGCGGAAUUCCGGGUGUAGUGGUGGAAUGCGUAGAGAUCCGGAAGAACACCGGUGGCGAAGGCGGCCUGCUGGGCAGUAGCUGACGCUGAGGCGCGACAGCGUGGGGAGCAAACAGG
rnacentral:rRNA from 1 species